rnacentral:rRNA from 1 species
AUUGAACGCUGGCGGCAUGCCUUACACAUGCAAGUCGAACGCGAAAGGGGGCAACCCCGAGUAGAGUGGCGAACGGGUGAGCAAUACAUCGGAACACGUCCUGUAGCGGGGGACAACCUCGAGAAAUCGAGGCUAAUACCGCAUACGAUCUACGGAUGAAAGUGGGGGACCGCAAGGCCCCACACUGUAGGAGUGGCCGAGGCCGGAUUAGCUAGAUGGCGGGGUAAUAGCCCACCAAGGCUACGAUCCGUAGCUGGUUUGAGAGAAAGACCCGCCACACUGGGACUGAGACACGGCCCAGACUCAUACGGGAGGCAGCAGUGGGGAAUUUUGGACAAUGGGCGAAAGCCUGAUCCAGCCAUGCCGCGUGAGUGAAGAAGGCCUUCGGGUUGUAAAGCUCUUUCGGCGGGGACGAAAUGGCGCGGGGUAACAUCCCGCGUCGAUGACGGUACCCGAAGAAGAAGGACCGGCUAACUACGUGCCAGCCGCCGCAGUAAAAC